rnacentral:rRNA from 1 species
UACAGAGGGUGCAAGCGUUGUUCGGAAUUAUUGGGCGUAAAGCGCGUGUAGGCGGCUUUGCAAGUCGGGUGUGAAAUCCCUCAGCUCAACUGAGGAAGUGCGCCCGAAACUGCAUUGCUUGAGUACCGGAGAGGAUGGUGGAAUUCCCCAAGUAGAGGUGAAAUUCGUAGAUAUGGGGAGGAACACCGGUGGCGAAGGCGACCAUCUGGACGGAUACUGACGCUGAGACGCGAAAGCGUGGGUAGCAAACAGG